AGUCACUGACAUUAGAUACCCGUGUAGUCCAGGGUGUAAACGCUGCAGACUUGGUGUUGGGGGCCCUUUGGGGGCAUUCAGUGCCGGAGAGAAGUUGUUAAGUCUGCUACUUGGGAGUACGUCCGCAAGGAUGAAACUUAAAGGAAUUGGCGGGGGAGGCACCGCAACGGGAGGAGCGUGCGGUUUAAUUGGAUUCAACACCGUAAAACUCACCAGGGAAGACUGUUACAUGAAGGCCGAGAUGAAGACUCUGCUAGAUUUUCAG
rnacentral:rRNA from 1 species